rnacentral:lncRNA from 1 species
AAUUCUAAUAUAUUUGUUUGUUGUUUUAUUGCUAAAUUUUAAGUUAGCAGUAGGGGAUAGAUUUAGGGGAUUCCAGGCCCAAAAAACCUUUUUUUUAAUGGUAAAAACAGUUUUAUAUGUAUAAUUUUUUAAAUUUAUUAUUAUUAUUAUUAUUUUUGCGUAUUAGUAAGGUUUGAAAUUUUUUAGCCUAGUUUUAAAUCCAAUACUUAAUCCAUUCUUAGUUAGCAGUAUGUUGGAUAAUAAUACACUGUUAGAUUUUACAUUUACGCUGAUUUUGGGGGCCUAACUUAUCGAGUUCGCCUCAGGUCCCAAAAACCACAGGACCGGCCCCGAAAGACACCAUCAUAUUUUUAGACACGCCAGUGAUCGUUAUAAUAUUCAGCCUCAAAUGAAUGCUUGUACAACAUCUGUUCACAUUUCCAAUAGGAUUCCUCAACUCUAACUCGACUACCCCAGCUUAGAAAUUUUCAAAGACACAGACCAUAAUGGUCUACUAAUGAAUUUGAUUUUAAGAUUAUGUCACUGCAGAAGUUCAAAAUGGUGAUUGUAGGUAGCAGGAACCCAGAUGUUUCUCGACUGAAGCCUGACUUUUGGAAAUCUGUCAGAUUAGGGUAAAUGGAAAUGCCCACUAAUUGUUUUUAAUUGUCAUUUACAUUAUAUUCAAAGCUUUUGCGGUCCAGAAACUCCAGAUGUGUUGACCAUAAACUUCAACUGAAUGUCUUCUUCUACGUGCAUUCAAUCGGUAAAACUAUAUCCUUCAACAUAAUCCUGAGGCCGAAAGAGUAGACGAAGAACCUGCUUUUAAAGAAUCCAGUGUGUUGAUUCAAGAUGCAACUGCUACUGUGCAAGAACCCAUGCCUGCUGCAAAGGGAAAAUGUUGAGAGAAUGAGGAUUAAAAUUGGUGAUAAAUACACCAAAAUAUUGUAUUCUUAUAGUUUUCAAUAUAUUUUUUAAUUGAAUUAGGGGCAUAAUUGUAAUUUUAUUGUGGUGUAUUUAUUAAAAAUAUAUUUUAAUU